GGGUCUCCUCUUUAUGAUUGCACCUGGUUUCUUGAGGUUUGUCAUCUUCAUAUUGUUUUCAUCUUGUAUUUCAGACUUUUUGAAAUUGACAGUUUAUAGUUAGUUGCUUGAUAUGAAGUUGUAGCUUGGAGUAAGGGAGUCAGAGGCAGUGGCCUAAAGCCAAUUGAAAUCAGUGGCCCCUCAGGAGUCGGCAAGGGAACUCUGAUAUCAAAGCUAAUGAAAGAAUACCCCUCAAUGUUUGGGUUUUUUGUAAGCCACACAACUUGAGCUCUGAGAUAGAAAGAAGUCAAUGGGGUUCACUAUCAUUUCACAGAACGAAGCCUAAUGGAGAAAGCCAUACUAGAGGGGAAAUUCCUUGAAUCUGCAUCAGUACAUGGUAAUCUUUAUGACACGAUCAUUGAGGCAGUUGAAACAGUAACAGGUUCUGGCAAGGGGAACAAAAACUGAGGAACAAGUUCAAAAGAGGCUAAGAAAUGCGAAAGCUGAGCUCGAGCAAGGAAGAGGCCCAGGUCUUUUUGACCAUGAUUUGGUUAAUGAUGACCUUGAAAAGUGCUAUCAAAAUCUGAAGAAAUUCCUUGCCCUAGAUGAAACCCCUGAUGUCUCUAAUGAGUCAGCAUUGGACAAAAUUCCUCUUAUUCAUUCUGUGUCUAAAAAGGAUCAGAAGACUCUGAUAAACUGUGGCAGGAGCCAAUUCAAAUCUACAACUCCUACCAUGUUUUUCAUCGAUGUAUCUCUGCAAUCAACUCAUCAACAUAUAAUAUUAAUAGGUUCGAACAACUUUAACAAUCCAUACAUCAAGCAACCGGAGCAAGAUUUCUGCACUAUCACUGACAUGUUAUUGAUUUUGUAUUACGACAUAAGAGAUGAUACAAAGUAGUGUUUGAACACCAAAAGAGCUAGCAUGUUAAGUUGCAGUUGAGACAUGGUUAUGUUUCAUUCGUUGCUAUUAGAUAAAUCAUUAUGUUCCAUGAUCUAAGUGAAAUCAGGUUGCAAACAUUUGUCUCAUGGGUGGUGAUGCCUACAGUUAUA